CCCCCCCCCCCCCCCCCCCCUCCUUAAAUUAUUGUUAUUCAACAACAACACUGUAUAAAUAAAUGAUUUGUGGGUGUAGCGGUUGUUGAAAUUCAUCUUGGCAAUAUCAAAACCUUGCAAAUUGAAUUUAGUAAACUCCGGAAAUAGGGGCAUGGCAUUUCCUGACAUUGGGGUUGGGCAUGUUUAUGUAUGUUUGUCUUUCCUUGCUUUUGCGACUUUUGGUUCCUACUUCUGAUCAUUUGUUAUUGGAAAGGAUACAUUCGUUUUCAGCCAGAAUUCUCUUAUUUAAACUUAGUUAUGAGUGGAUCCAUGGAUGACACCUUGCCUGAGUAAAAAUUUUUUAAAGUCCUUGAAACAUUGACAUGGGAAGUUCGUGAAUUUUUCCAAAAAGAGAGACAGAAUUACAGAAAAGAGUAAGGGAUUACACCAUUGAAAAUUGUUGGGCUUAAUAGUGCUUUGAGAGAAACCUCAAAAUUAAUAAUGUUUUGAGGUUUGGCAAAGCAAUUGAAGUUGGCAAGAAAAUUGAGGAAAUGAGUUGGCCAAGAAUUCAAUACUCAUUGUCGUUCCCCCUAGCUAAGUUCAUAUUUAUCUUGAUCUGGAGUGAAAUGAUUCAUGUCAGAUGAAUUGAUCCCACUUCCUUCCUGCAUCAGUUAUUUCAUUGUCAUGGAUCUGUCCUGCUUCCAUGUCUUGUUAAUAUCAAUAGUUUGGAACAAAAAUUAUUAAGUAGGACUAUUGUAUGGUUCCUCUCAUACACAUAAUUAGCAAUGCUAGUCUUGGAUCUGGACAUUGGCUGGUUUUGAAG
rnacentral:misc_RNA from 1 species